UCUAGACAUUUCGCCGCGCAGGGGGCACCCUGCCGCUUGCCGGUCCCGCGGCUCUGGUAGACCUCCCGCAGGCGUGCCUGCGGAUGCUCCACCAGAGCCGCGGGACCAGCGGACCCUCCACAGGCACGCCUGCGGGAGGUCCACCGGAGUCGCCUGCCGCCGAUAGCCCCAGGCCCCUGGAAUCCUCUGGGCGGCCCUGCCCUCCCCCACAAGACCUGCCACCCUUUUCACUCCACUUUCCCCCUCCCUCCAUCGCUCACUGCUUUUCCCCUCUCCCCUACUUCCUGUCUCAGUUGGGAAGGACUUGCCAGCAGAGCCGGGGCUGGGACCUGCAGCUGCCCAAUGCAGAUAGAAGGUGGCCAAAGCUGAGUAGUUGUUGGCGCAGUUGAUGACUUGGCGCUUCCCCGCCUCCCCCCACUGCAGUAACCAGACUUUGGGUGUCCAGUCAAUAGAUCAGACCAGACACCAUCAGACUGUCUUUUAGACCGUUCGAAAACCAGACACACCUGGCCAACCGACUGGCACUCAACUGGCCAAUUCUGGAAAUCUGUCUUUGCUGGUAGGCAGUCGAUCUGUCAGAUGAAGCCUUUUGAAGUCUUGAAAAAAAUGACUGCCAGCCUCCAUGAUUAAAAACAGAUUGUCCUCAUCCUGAGUCCCAGGCCUCUUGUACUGUGAGUACUACAGAAGCACAGCAAAGACAUGGAAGAAAUCUAAGGGCCUGAUUCUCCUUUCACUUACACAGGAAAACCCAGGGGAAAGGACCAGAGAGGAGGAACCAUCUGCAAAUAUUCUUCAGGGGAGACGGAACGUGACCUUCAAGGAGCUAUCCUUUAUCCACCACCUCAGAAACAUUUGGGGAUGAUGGGGAGCAUAUCCAGGGCCAUAGAAAUUUCUCCACUCCUACUGGUCUUUUGUGCUGUCCUGAGACCCCCCUGAACCUGCUGGGCAGCCCCCCCUCAAGUAAGGAAAGACUUUCUUAGGCAAAGCAGUGAUAUUGCUGAAAAUCCAUUUUUUUCUUUUUUUAAAUAAAAUCCAAUGAAGAUGUUUCAUGCUACUGCCUAAAAGGUUUGUGCAGUUCUCAAAGCUGGGGAUUUUUUGCUCCUGUAAAUGCUGUGCUUGUGGAAAGUGCCAAAUUCACAAACUAAAGACUGUUGCCUCUGGUAAACCACAGAACAAGUAAUAUACAAUACAGGUAGAGACCAGCAGUGAAACCUUCUCAUGCUCCUGCACCAAUGUGCCUCAGCCCCAAGCUGGAGGAACUACUUUUAAUGCUGCAGGGGUAGUUCAGUCUCCAUUCAGUCCUUGGCUCUCCAGGCAAAUGUGCCAAUUAACGUUAAUUAUUGUGUUGAUUUCUGUGAUUUGGGCAUCAUAGGCCAAAUUCAUAGCUGAUGUACCCCAAUCAAGUCAGUGGAUGAAUAUGGCCCCAUGUCUUUUAGGAACUGGACUGACACCAACAGUUUAUUUAACUUACUCCAUCAAAUAGCCAUUAAGUUGUUUCAACCUCUACUGAUGUGGUCUGAAUUCAGAACAAUAGCCUCGUGAUGAAAGGCUCAGCAUCCAAUUAUCAAUACUCUUUGCUGUAUAAUCUAAAUAAAAAUACUUAUGCUGGCCACUUUUCUCAAGUUACACUCACUACAAAGUGCAUGUGUGCAUGCAUGCUUGUAAUGUAAAGAGCAAAACAAGCAGAGAAGUUGCUCGGAUUUAAUGUAGCCAAUACAUGUUUCAGAUCAGAAGUCUCAUUAAAAGUGAGCAUUCAAGGCCCCAGAUUUCUCUGUUGCAAUUUUUCCUUCCUAAAGCAGUCCUCAGCCUACUCUUAUUGAGCACUGUUUGAAGUGUCACAUCAAUGAUUAUCUCAAGAGAGUCCAUCUCUGGUGUGGCUGGCAUGCUUUCUGCCCCACCCCUUGCCUAGCUCAUGAUGUAGCUGCUUUUGUAGGAUAACAUUAUGUGAGGCAGCGCUUAGGAGGGGAAAGGACAACAUACAACUUCUGCAGACUCCAUGCCCUGGGAUUGGGGUGGUGAGGGAGAACAGUUAUAUGCAAGUAUUAUGUCAAGCUUUGCACCAGUGACAAAACAAUAACGUCUGCCCAUCUUUCAAUCUACCCAAAGAGCAGCCCAAUGAAAAUCCCAGGGUAAACUACAGAUGAUUCCACUGAACAGCAUCUCAGUAACUUUCUAGAAGUAAAUUUCUCUGGAUAGUAUAUUAAAGUAGUUUUAACUGAGAAGCCAGCCCACACCAAGAGCUUUAUUUUUGAUGUAGAAACCUGUGUUUAUUGCCAAGCGAAAGGAGAGCAGCCACAGUUCCCCCUUUUAAUUAAACUAAACAUUGUAAAAUAUGAAAAUGGCAUAAAAAUAAGGCUAAAAGUUUUAUUCUCAAAGAAUCUUCUAUUGUGUGUACUUCCAAGAAGAGUUAACAGAUUUCUUUUAUAGACAGCCAAUUUGGGUAUUACCAAGCAGGACUUUAGCUUCAAAGAAGUUUGGAGGUGGUAAGUUGGUAAAUGCAUGUUUAUGUGUGGUUUUCUAUAGAAGUAUGUGGAUGAGAAAUUUCUCCACAACCACUUCCUAAAAGGAAUCUUCCAAAUACAUUUAAUCUGAGGCUGUUGAUUAUUCACAAUUAAUUCACAAGAUCAACUACCAAAAAAAUUGCAAUUUAAAAAAUAAAUCACAAUUAAUCGCAGUUCUAAUUGCAAUAUUAAACAAUAGAAUACCAAUACUCUCAACUCAGAUGCACUGGCCAGGUAAACAGGAAAAGCCCCGUGAACUUUUGAAUUUCAUUUCCUGUUUGGCCAGCAUGGUGAGCUGAUCAGCACAGGUGACCAUGGAGUCCCAGAAUAACAAAAGAGCUCCAGCAUGGACCAAACGGGAGGUACUGGAUCUGAUCGCUGUAUGGGGAGACGAAUCUGUGCUAUCAGAACUCCGUUCCAAAAGACAAAAUGCCGGAAUAUUUGAAAAAAUCUCCAAGGGCAUGAAGGACAGAAGCUAUAACAGGGACCCGCAGCAGUGCCACGUGAAACUUAAGGAGCUCAGGCAAACCUACAAAGAACCAGAGAGUCAAAUGGCCGCUCCAGGUCAGAGCCCCAGAAUGCCACUUCUAUGAUGAGCUGCAUGCCAUUCUAGGGGGUGCCCCUACAACUAUCCCACCCCUGUGCAUGGACUCUGUCAAUGGAUUCUCAUGCAAUAGGGAAUGCAGAUUUUGGGGAUGAGGAGGAUAAGGAGGAGGUUGAAGAUAGUGCACAGCAAGCAAGUGGAGAAACCGUUUUCUCCGACAGCCAGGAACUGUUUUUCACCCUGGAUCUAGUACCCUCCCAACCCACCCAAGGUGGGCUCCCAGACCUUGAAGGUGGAGAAGGGACCUCUGCUGCAAAUGUUUCAGCAAUCCCCGUAUCAUCUCCAUCCCAGAGGCUAGCAAAAAUUAGAAGGCAAAAAAACCGCACUCGCGACAAAAUGUUCUCUGAGCUCAUGCAGUCCUCCCACACUGAAAGAGCCCAGCAGAAUGCCUGGAGGCAGACACUGUCAGAGUGCAGGAAAGCACAAAAUGAACAUGAGGACAGGUGGAGGGAGCAAGAGGAGAGAUGGUGGGAUCAAGAUGAUUGGUGGCAUCAGCAUGAUGAGAGGAGGCAAGAAGCAAUGCUUAGGCUACUGGAGGAUCAAACUGAUAUUCUCCAGCGUAUUGUUGAGGUGCUGGAAAGGCAGCAGGAGCACAGACCACCACUGUAGCCCCUGUGUAACCAACCGCUCUCCUCCCCAAGUUCCAUAGCCUCCUCACCCAGAUGCCCAAGAACGCGGUAGGGGGGCCUCCAGCCACCCAACCACUCCACCCCAGAGGACUGCCCAAGCAACAGAAAGCUGGCGUUCAAUAAGUUUUUCAGUGUAGUGUGGCCUUGUCCUUCCCUCCUCCCCUCCUCCACCACCCUACCCGGUGCUUCCCUCCUCCUGCACCCUCCCGGGGUACCUUGGCAGUUAUCCCC